rnacentral:rRNA from 1 species
UACGUAGGGGGCAAGCGUUGUCCGGAGUUACUGGGCGUAAAGCGCACGCAGGCGGUCGAUUAAGUUUGGAGUGACAGUUGGUGGCUUAACUGCCAAAGUGCUUCGAAAACUGAUCGACUUGAGGGCUUCAGAGGGACACGGAAUUCCGGGUAGAGUGGUGAAAUGCGUAGAGAUCCGGAGGAACACCGAAGGCGAAGGCAGUGUCCUGGGGAGUACCUGACGCUCAGGUGCGAAAGCGUGGGGAGCAAACAGG